rnacentral:lncRNA from 1 species
ACAGGUACCCCAGAACUUAAAAUAAAUGUUGAAGGAAAAAAGAAAAGUAGGGGAAGGACAUUCUUGGCAGAAGGAACAGCCUGAGCACAAGCACAGAGGAGAGAAACAGCUUGCUGUUUUGGAGACAAGUACUAUCAUGUCACCAGAGGUGCCGCCUGUCAACAAAACCCAACCAGUAGCCGGAGGACACUGGAACCGUUCUAAUGAUUUCAUACUGAAAGAGAAAAAAUAAGUCACAAGACCAGUGAUCUCCAUGGCUGGAUUGGCUCCAAGAGAAAAAAUCCAUGACAAGAAUAGCUGGGAGUUGAGUCACUGUGCCCAGAAGUUCUGCAAACAUGAUUCAGGAGAGAUGGAAACCAAGGCACAGAACUACUGUGACUUUCCCAGAACCUCAGACCUAGACUGGUUUGCACCUUGAACUUGAUUCCAGGAUAUGGAUUCAUGAAAUGUUAGUCAUCAUAUUUCAUACUGAGAAAGGUCCUGGAAGGAUCAUCCAGACCAACGAUUUUUAUUUCUCUGAGCAUAAAACUGAGACCUGUUUUAUGAUUUAUCUAAUAUCACAAACAGUUGGUGACAGAAGUAGGAAAUACAGCUGAGGCCAAAACUCAUUCUGAACAGCAAAUGAAAACAGAUACUUUUGGCCGGGCAUGGUGGCUCAUGCGUGUAAUCUCAGCACUUUGGGAGGCUGAGGCAGGCAGAUUACCUGAGAUUGAGAGUUUGAGACCAGCCUGACCAACAUGGAGAAACCCCGUCUCUGCUAAAAAUACAAAAAAAUUAGCCGGGCAUGGUGGUGCAUGCCUAUAAUCCCAGCUACUCAGGAGGCUGAGGCAGGAGAAUCGCUUGAACCCAGGAGGCAGAGGUUGCGGUGAGCCGAGAUCGUGCCAUUGCACUCCAGCCUGGGUAACAAGAGCGAAACUCCGUCUC